UACGUAGGGAGCGAGCGUUGUCCGGAUUUACUGGGCGUAAAGGCGCGUAGGCGGUCUGUUAAGCGUGAAGUGAAAUCUCCAGGGCUCAACCCGGAAACUGCUUUGCGAACUGGCAGACUAGAGGAAGGUAGAGGUAAGUGGAAUUCCCGGUGUAGCGGUGACAUGCAUUGAUACCGGGAGGAACACCCAUGGCGAAGGCAGCUUACGUGGACCUUAUCUGACGCUGAGGCGCGAAAGCGUGGGGAGCAAACAGGAUUAG
rnacentral:rRNA from 1 species